rnacentral:rRNA from 1 species
UACAGAGGUCUCAAGCGUUGUUCGGAUUCAUUGGGCGUAAAGGGCGCGUAGGCUGCGGGGCAAGUCGGGUGUGAAAUCUCAGAGCUCAACUCUGAAACUGCACUCGAUAACUGCUUUGCUUGAGGAACUGGAGAGGAGUAUUGGAAAUUCACGGUGUAGCAGUGAAAUGCGUAGAUAUCGAUGAGGAAGACCAGUGGCGAAAGGCGGAUCUCUGGACAAGUUCCUGACACUGAGGCAACGAAGGCCAGGGGAGCAAAACGGG